UACCAGACUCCUACGGGAGGCAGCAGUGGGGGAUAUUGCACAAUGGGGGAAACCCUGAUGCAGCGACGCCGCGUGGGUGAAGAAGCGCCUCGGCGCGUAAAGCCCUGUCAGCAGGGAAGAAAAUGACGGUACCUGAAGAAGAAGCCCCGGCUAACUACGUGCCAGCAGCCGCGGUAAUACGUAUGGAGCAAGCGUUAUCCGGAUUUACUGGGUGUAAAGGGAGCGCAGGCGGCCUUGCAAGUCUGAUGUGAAAGGCCGGGGCCCAACCCCGGGACUGCAUUGGAAACUGCGAGGCUGGAGUGUCGGAGAGGCAGGCGGAAUUCCUAGUGUAGCGGUGAAAUGCGUAGAUAUUAGGAGGAACACCAGCGGCGAAGGCGGCCUGCUGGACGAUGACUGACGCUGAGGCUCGAAAGCGUGGGGAGCAAACAGGAUUAGAUACCCGAGUAG
rnacentral:rRNA from 1 species